rnacentral:rRNA from 1 species
UAGGGAAUCUUCGGCAAUGGGGGGAACCCUGACCGAGCAACGCCGCGUGAGUGAAGAAGGUUUUCGGAUCGUAAAGCUCUGUUGUUAAGGAAGAACGAGUGUGAGAAUGGAAAGUUCAUACUGUGACGGUACUUAACCAGAAAGGGACGGCUAACUACGUGCCAGCAGCCGCGGUAAUACGUAGGUCCCGAGCGUUGUCCGGAUUUAUUGGGCGUAAAGCGAGCGCAGGCGGUUAGAUAAGUCUGAAGUUAAAGGCAGUGGCUCAACCAUUGUAGGCUUUGGAAACUGUUUAACUUGAGUGCAGAAGGGGAGAGUGGAAUUCCAUGUGUAGAGGUGAAAUGCGUAGAUAUAUGGAGGAACACCGGUGGCGAAAGCGGCUCUCUGGUCUGUAACUGACGCUGAGGCUCGAAAGCGUGGGGAGCGAACAGG